rnacentral:rRNA from 1 species
UACGUAGGGGGCAAGCGUUGUUCGGAAUUACUGGGCGUAAAGGGCUCGUAGGCGGCCAACUAAGUCGGACGUGAAAUCCCCAGGCUCAACCUGGGAACUGCGUCUGAUACUGGAUGGCUUGAAUCCGGGAGAGGGAUGCAGAAUUCCAGGUGUAGCGGUGAAAUGCGUAGAUAUCUGGAGGAAUACCGGUGGCGAAGGCGGCGACCUGGGUCGACACUGACGCUCAUGCACGAAAGCGUGGGGAGCAAACAGG